rnacentral:lncRNA from 1 species
AUGCCAAUCUGCAACUGGGUAGUCUAAAGCUGUCAUUAAGGCAUAACAUUAGAAAUAUUUCCUGAGAAAUAUGAGUUGGAAUGAAGGUCUCCUUUCUUGUCAUGGCAACAGGAGAACUCAUCUUAGGAAUACUGGGAAAUGGGUUCAUUGGACUGGUAAACUGCAUCGAAUGGGUCAAGAAUGGGAAGGUCUCAUCAGCUGAUUUCAUCCUUACCAGCUUGCACUGCAAACUGAAGCUGAACAACUUGAUAUAAAAUUAAGAGAGAUUGCCACAACAGCCAACGUUUAGAAAAUCUUGGUGCCUGUUGCUGAGUAAGCCAUUCAGAAAGUUUACCGAUCAUUUGACGACAUCAUAGAGGCAUUUCAAACUACAAAAGAUGCUUUGACAAUGACAUCUAGAAAUCUUCUUGAUUGGCUACCCCCUAGAAUCAGAAACUGGUUUAUAAUUUGCUGCAACCAUUAACCAUUCUUUUUCUUGAUUUCCAUAGAAAUGACUCAUUAAAU